rnacentral:rRNA from 1 species
UACGUAGGUGGCAAGCGUUGUCCGGAAUUAUUGGGCGUAAAGCGCGCGCAGGUGGUUUCUUAAGUCUGAUGUGAAAGCCCACGGCUCAACCGUGGAGGGUCAUUGGAAACUGGGGAACUUAAGUGCAGGAGAGAAGAGUGGAAUUCCACGUGUAGCGGUGAAAUGCGUAGAGAUGUGGAGGAACACCAGUGGCGAAGGCGACUCUUUGGCCUGUAACUGACACUGAGGCGCGAAAGCGUGGGGAGCAAACAGG